AUUGAACGCUGGCGGCAGGCCUAACACAUGCAAGUCGAACGAGUGGCGGACGGGUGAGUAAUGCCUGGGAAACUGCCUGAUGGAGGGGGAUAACUACUGGAAACGGUAGCUAAUACCGCAUACCAUCGGAUGUGCCCAGAUGGGAUUAGCUAGUAGGUGGGGUAACGGCUCACCUAGGCGACGAUCCCUAGCUGUGCUGAGAGGAUGACCAGCCACACUGGAACUGAGACACGGUCCAGACUCCUAGGGGAGGCAGCAGUGGGGAAUAUUGCGCGAGGGGCGCAAGCCUGAUGCAGCCAUGACGCGUGGAUGAAGAAUGCCUUCGGGUUGUAAAGUACUGUCAGCGGGGAGGCGUUACCCACAGAAGAAGCACCGGCUAACUCCGUGCCAGCCGCCGCGGUAAUUC
rnacentral:rRNA from 1 species